GUGGAUACUGUCAAUGUUUGAUCGACAGGAUAUCGUGAAAAAUGACCUAAUAUGCAGCAAAGGACAUUAUGUGGCCAGUCAGAAGAAGAAAAGUCACUACACUCAUACUGGCUGUUAGAACUGAGAAGUGAAGCACUAGAAAUAUUCCAUAACGUUCAUGAGAAUAGCCACAAGAUGAUCAGAGGAUCAUGUAAACUCUCCAAAUGCAGUACUGAAAACAAUUUUUGAAAUAAGUAUACUGUAACCAAUUACUUAUAAAAACUACAGGAGACCCAUUGGGGUAUGUAACUCCUGAGAUAGAAUAUGUAACUUUGCACAAAUCUUGAAAAUUAAAAUUAUUGAUUUUUUUCUGU